AACGAACGCUGGCGGCAGGCUUAACACAUGCAAGUCGAACGAGAAGCUUUCCUUCGGGGAAGUGGAAAGUGGCAGACGGGUGAGUAACGCGUGGGAACGUGCCUUUCGGUUCGGGAUAACUCAGGGAAACUUGGGCUAAUACCGAAUACGCCCUCCGGGGAAAGGAUUAUCGCCGAAAGAUCGGCCCGCGUCGGAUUAGCUUGUUGGUGAGGUAAAAGCUCACCAAGGCGACGAUCCGUAGCUGGUCUGAGAGGAUGAUCAGCCACACUGGGACUGAGACACGGCCCAGACUCCUACGGGAGGCAGCAGUGGGGAAUAUUGGACAAUGGGCGGCAAGCCUGAUCCAGCCAUGCCGCGUGGGUGAAGAAGGCCUUAGGGUUGUAAACCCCUUUC
rnacentral:rRNA from 1 species